ACAUCUCAAGAUUUAUUUUCUUACAAAUUUCGUAGUAUCUUCAAAUUUAUUUGUUUGACAAGACAUAUACUUAUUUGAUUUGAGAUCAUAACAAUAAAAAAGGUACUUGUGUCAUUGAUACUACCCCCACUCAGUAACAGUUUUCUUCUUUUUUUCUUAGCUCUUAAUUUUAUAAUUUACCAUAUCCAUAUGCAAACACAUUCUUAUAGACCAAUUAUACUUUUAAAAUGAAACUAAAAUCACUAGCCACAAUCGCCAUGAAAUGUUCGAUGAUGAGCUCUCUCUGUUUUUUUUUUUUUUUUUUUCUAAUCAACCUGUAUUUGAAAAGUUCAUGUAAAUAAUAAAUAAUUAAUAGAUAUUAGUUCAUAUUAAUUAAUUGAAAUCAAGUCAUUUAGUACAAUAAAAUCGAUAGUCUUCUUCUUAUGUUUGAUUUCGUG
rnacentral:lncRNA from 1 species